CCGCCCUGCGUGCCGCCCCAUUGGCGGCAGCGCCCGACCAAUGAGCGCGGGUGUCGCUGGGAGCCGGCGGGGGGGGAGGAUGCGGUUGGCGGUGUGGAACGCGCGCGCUGCGCUGCUGUACUCGUUGGGCGGCUGGACCGUACUGGGAGGCAUGCUGCACUACACCAGGAGCCACGGCGGCGGCGACAGCGGCGCCUCCGAGAAUGAAAGUGAUCCUCAGGCAAAACCAGCGCUCAAGAAGGAAAUAUACACGAGAGAAACAGCUUUAGGAUUUACAGUGACAACAGUAAUAACACACAAGGAUGUUGAACCUCCCAUUACUCAACUGCUCAGGCGUGUGAAGUCAUACUUUUUUCCGGACGACAGCCCUCCUCCUUCCGAAAACUGAGCACUCUGCAAGCUCAGGACUUUGUGCUGGUGCCGGCAUCUCCGAGAGUCAUCCUGGCACCAGCCCAUCGGUGGAAAACUAUUCUCCUGCAUGGCUGAAAUGACAGCUCUGCCUGGGACACAGCCCGGCGGGACUUGCAGGCUUUGCUCGGAUCUUUGCACGUGUGUUCAAGUUACUAACCAUGAGUUGGGUUCAACUACCUGUGCUGUGAGGUGUGGGUGAGGCUGGUGGUCACCUUGGUGUGCUGUGGCCAGUGGUCUGACCAGGUGGCCCUGGUGGCUUUGCUUGUGAAGUUGAUUUGUGUGCAGGAUGUACCUGUAGCUGGGAUGGCUCCUUUGGUUGCCUCUGAAAUGGAUGAUUUAAAGAUUAGUAAACAGGAAGGAUCAUGGUUUAAUCUUUGUGGUCCGAGAGUUGUUACUCAUCCUUCAAAUAAAAGCCUUCCAAGAGAUGAAUUACAAGUGCAGGAAAACUGCUGUAAGCUGAAAACUUACCAUGUUUUCUGCUCCAGGCCCUUGUUUCUAUAGGGGUUUCCCUGAUCCUUAUACAUGCUGUUGGCCCUUGUAGGGUACUGCUCCCCAGACACCGUGGCGGUAACUCACUCUCAUUCUACAGGGUUAGAUCCUUACGGAUAUUGCCUCUUUCCCUUUAGGAAUCUGCUCCUGGCUGCUGUUUUCUCCUGCUGUUUUCCCCAGCUUCUCUGGCUGCUGACCCUUGUUGCUAUAGGGGCUCCCUAUAGGGGCUUCUACCACCUAUAGGGUGCCCCCAGCCCCUGCUCUCUGC
rnacentral:lncRNA from 1 species